GACGAACGCUGGCGGCGUGCCUAAUACAUGCAAGUAGAACGCAGUUGCGAACGGGUGAGUAACGCGUAGGUAACUGCCUCAUAGCUGGGGAUUACUAUUGGAAACGCUAGCUAAUACCGCAUACUGUGAGAUGGACCUGCGUUGUAUUAGCUAGUUGGGGAGGUAAAGGCUCACCAAGGCGACGAUACAUAGCCGACCUGAGAGGGGGAACGGCCAAAAGGGGACUGGGACAAGGGACAGAAUGAUAAGGGAGGCAGCAGUAGGGAAAGAGCGGAAAAGGAAGGAAGUCUGAGCGAGCAAAGCGGCGGGAGUGAAGAAGGGGUGCGGAACGGAAAGAAAUGGGGAUAGAGAAGCGGUAACUAACCAGAAAGGGACGGCUAACUACGUGCCAGCAGCCGCGGGAAUAC
rnacentral:rRNA from 1 species